AACAAAGAACUAACGAAGAAAAGAUGACUACACACGGGUAUCGGUCAGGAGGCUGUAAUAAUCUGAUCGACUACACGAAGGGCGCGCCCCCAGUAAUCGACGCCGGAGUGAAGAAAGUACCCCACACGGGUCCUAUACCUGGGGGUAUGUACCCUGGCCGUAUAGUUAGGAUAAAGGGAGGCAUCUGCCCUACAGCAUACAGAUUCUCGAUAAACUUCAAAUGUGGUGGUAGUGACGACACUGCUUUUCAUUUCAACCCUCGCUUCGGACACCAGGUCAUUGUGCGCAACUCUUACAUUAAUGGGUCGUGGGGGAAUGAGGAGUCCAGUGGAGGGAUGCCAAUGGGUGCAGGGGAGAUGUUUGAAACUGUGGUCAAGUGCUUCCAUGAUUGUUUCAAGGUGUCUGUGAACGGGAGACACUUCUGCGACUACUACCAUCGCCUCCCGUACCAUCGGAUCACACAUCUGAACGUGGGCGGCGACCUCAUGAUACAGCAGAUCACCUUUGCGGGACCUGAGCCACCUUCAGAAAUUGCAAACUAUGCUGCUAAAUAUACUGCCGAUUAGUGAUAUAAUACAGGUAGGUACCUACAGAAUAUAAGGUGUUCUAAAAGUAUCUGCCACGGCUUUAAUGGGAGGUAGUGUUGUGUUUGAAGAUUACAACAGUGAAGAAAUUUCGUACCCUGGACCAGUUAAUUCAAUUUGAGAACAUAAAGAAGUUAAAUAAACAUUGACUCUACUCUGUAUAAAGUGGUUCACAAAUACGUACGAUGCGUCAAAGACAGUGAAAGAGAUAGCUCUUUCAUAACAAAUU